GUGGAGCGCCUGAAGAUUGCGGUGUGACGAGGCUCUGACUCCGUAGUAAGUAAAGACGCUACUGGAGUUGAUGUUCGGUGAUUUUGGGCGCGAGCCGUCGACCGCUGUUCGCCAUUGCAGGCAUGACAAGGCAUGACUUUUCCCAGUAAAUCAUGUUGUAGCGAAUUCGGGAGGCAACCACAGGAACUGCCACGACCGGGAAGCGAACCCGUAUCGCCCGCACCGAAGGAGACAUCACUAACCGCUCGACUCAAGGAUCAGACCCGUCAGCCAGCGGCCAACGUGUCUACUUAUCCAUGCACGUUACAAUAUUAACGGCACAGGAAGAAGCCUCCCCACCCCCCCAAGUAGCGGGCUAGCGCAAUGGCGGAUGAUACAGGUCGAUUCAAGAUGGUGAUCUGUGCGGCUUGAGUGUGGUGAGCUCUGAAGCUAUAAAUUGUACCACAACAAAAAGAGAAAGAUAAACCAAGAAUUAUGACUGAUGUGCCUACGUAUUGAAAAAGAAGAACAUUAUGAGUAAAAGGAACGGAAUAUCACCUAACACGAAUUUCUUGUAAAAUAAACCUGGCAUGUGUUGCACUCUUG